GCUCAGUGAUGAGCCCCAUGCGUGUCAUCUGAGCCUGGCUCCCCUGGUGCGGCAGCCCAGGUAGUGUUCUACUUCCAGGGGUUGCUGUCUGGCCUGGUGGGGAUUCUGGGCAAAGGAUCAGUCUCUGUUUCCUGAGAGC